UACGGAGGAGGCAAGCGUUAUCCGGAAUUAUUGGGCGUAAAGCGUCCGCAGGUGGCACCUCAAGUCUGCUGUCAAAGACCGGGGCUUAACCCCAGAAAGGCAGUGGAAACUGAAGUGCUAGAGUGCAGUAGGGGUAGAGGGAAUUCCCGGUGUAGCGGUGAAAUGCGUAGAGAUUGGGAAGAACACCGGUGGCGAAAGCGCUCUACUGGGCCUGCACUGACACUCAUGGACGAAAGCUAGGGGAGCGAAAGGG
rnacentral:rRNA from 1 species